rnacentral:rRNA from 1 species
CCGGAUCCCAUCAGAACUCCAAAGUUAAACGUGCAUUGGCGAGAGUAGUACUAAGAUGGGUGACCUCUCGGGAAGUCCUCGUGUUGCACCCC